rnacentral:pre_miRNA from 1 species
UUUUCCUUUGUCUGUAAUAGUAUCUUUUUUAUUACGUACAAAAUGCUUGCUUAGGUUGACAUUUUGUGCGUAGUAAUAGAGGUAUCAAUAUAGUCAAUUUAUCGUC